ACUCCAUGGUGUGGACAUUUUCGUUGCAAAUCCUUGAAUCUUUCCCAGGCAUCAUGAAGCGUUUCGUUGUCACGUUGCUUGAAGCUAGUGAUUUCAGUUCUCAGCUU
rnacentral:snoRNA from 1 species